AGUGAACGCUGGCGGUAGGCCUAACACAUGCAAGUCGAACGGCAGCACAGUAAGAGCUUGCUCUUACGGGUGGCGAGUGGCGGACGGGUGAGGAAUACAUCGGAAUCUACUUUUUCGUGGGGGAUAACGUAGGGAAACUUACGCUAAUACCGCAUACGACCUACGGGUGAAAGCAGGGGAUCUUCGGACCUUGCGCGAUUGAAUGAGCCGAUGUCGGAUUAGCUAGUUGGCGGGGUAAAGGCCCACCAAGGCGGGGAUCGGUAGCUGGACUGAGAGGCUGAUCGCCCACACUGGAACUGGGACACGGUCCAGACUCCUGCGGGAGGCAGCAGUGGGGAAUAGUGGACAAUGGGCGCAAGCCUGAUCCAGCCAUACCGCGUGUGUGAAGAAGGCGUUCGGGUUGUAAAGCCCUUUUGUGGGGAAAGAAAAGCAGCAGGUUAAUACCCCGCUGUUCUGACGGUACCCAAAGAAUAAGCACCGGCUAACUUCGUG
rnacentral:rRNA from 1 species